CCUGCCGGACCGACUGCUAUUGGGGUGAGGCUAAGCCAUGCGAGUCAGCGCUUCUAGAUGAGGAGGCGCGGCAUACGGCUCAGUAACAUGUGGUUAACCUACCCUCAGGACGGAGACAACCUCGGGAAACUGAGGCUAAUCCCAGAUAGAUGAUGGAUCCUGCCAAUGGUUCUUCAUCCAAAAAAUAUGCAUUUCAUGCUAUGCAUGUUGCCUGACGAUGGGACCGCACCCUAUCAGGUAGUUGGUGGGGUAAUGGCCCACCAAGCCUAUAACGGGUACGGGCCCUGAGAGGGGGAGCCCGGAGAUGGGCACUGAGACAAGGGCCCAGGCCCUACGGGGCGCAGCAGGCGCGGAACCUCUGCAAUGCGCGAAAGCGCGACAGGGCCACCCCGAGUGCUAUCCGCUGAGGGUAGCUUUUCCCUAGUGUAGUAAGCUAGGGGAAUAAGCGGGGGGCAAGCCUGCUGUCAGGCGCCGCGGUAAUACCGC
rnacentral:rRNA from 1 species